rnacentral:lncRNA from 1 species
AAUUUUCCUUUCCUUGCCCUACAGAUGAUGAACCUCCUUCCAAAUUAAAACCCAGAACUGGAUCAACAAGCUUCCCAUAUUUUAUUUUCCAUCCCAUCUUCUGCUGGCCCAUUCUGAAUCCUCUAUUUUCCUUGCCGAUUCCUCCCAUAUCCCCAUCACCUUCCUCACGUAACCAAACACUAUUCAUGGUCAAAGCCCUUCGAGAUUGUGCUCUUAUAGAUAAGUCCCAAACCAUUUCAGCAAUUUCCACUCCAGUAUUCAUUUUUGCUUGACAAAAACGAAUCACUAUGGCCUAAUCUUCCACAAUAAAAAUAGAAAAGUGAUAAUCGCUCAUAUUUAAAAGUAACAUAUGAACGUCUCCCAUCAAAUAAAAUUUGUUUCUUUCUUUUUAGAGGACGCCUUAUAUCAAAUUGGACAUUUAUUCGCAUAAAAUUUCUAUUCUCUUUUCCCAGAUUUAAAACAUCAUAUUCUAGAAAAUUCCCCAAGAAAUUACCCAAUUGCGUUGCUAGGUUUUCAGAAAACAGACCAAUAGGCACAUCAUGAAUCUAAACCUAGAAAGGUAUCAAAACUAGAAGGAUCUGUAACGGAUCCUCCCCCAAUUGCAAUUUGUAAAGUAUCAUCAAAUGAUUAUUAAAGGUCCAAAGGGAACCCUUUAAAACCCUUUCCAUAUCCAGAGCGUGAAAGAAUUGAAACAAAUACCUUUUUUCCCCCAGAUUUUGAAUUCGAAAGCCUCAAACCGGAUGCCACAAAUUUGUCAUAGUACUUUUCAUGGUUGGAAAGUGAAUUAUACUGGCUGUGAGAAAACAACCCACAAGUUGAAAAAUCUCACCUCCUCUUUCUAAACCUAGAUCUAUUCGAAUGUGAAUAGCAUCCUUUUCUUCUUCAUUAAUCGACAAUUGGGCUAGUUCAUCCUCCAUUAUUUCCAAGUAUAUAUCAC